CGUUAUUCCCCCUGCACCUGGACGGAUUCGCCUCCUCGCUUCUGAAAUGAGAGGGAAUAUUUUCACACACCUGGUCUAAAAGCUAACGUUGGAUGGAUAAUUUAACUUCUGUCAAGACGUUGAGUUCAGGAGGAGGAGGAGCAGGCGAGAGCACCAAAGUGGUCACAAAAUCGGUGACGACAACAACUCGACUGAUAUCACAAAGUGAACAGACUGAAGGAGGGUCUGGUGGAGGGGGCUUCAGUAGCUCCUAUGGGGGGUCCGGAGCCACCAAGACCUCCGGGGGUAUCAUCGUCACCACAUUAGGAGCCUCCUCAGCUUCUGGUGGAGGGGGCUCGGCAG